GGAUCCGUAGCUCAAUAGCAGAGCAUCAAUCUUAUACAUUGAACGUUGUAGGUGCAAAUCCUACCGGAUCCACCA
rnacentral:tRNA from 1 species